GCCCGGCUAGCUCAAUCGGUAGAGCGUGAGACUCUUACGCCUCUCAGAGGUGCGAUCUCAAGGCUGCGGGUUCGACCCCCGCGUUGGGCU
rnacentral:tRNA from 1 species